rnacentral:SRP_RNA from 1 species
CUCUCGGCUUCGUGUGCGUUCGCCCGCUAACCCCGUCAGAUCCGGAAGGAAGCAGCGGUCCGCGGAUACGGACGUGACGCGAUACGUCGGGAGGUU